UACGUAGGCAGCGAGCGUUGUUCGGAGUUACUGGGCGUAAAGGGUGUGUAGGCGGUUGUUUAAGUUUGGUGUGAAAUCUCCCGGCUCAACUGGGAGGGUGCGCCGGAAUACUGAAUGACUAGAGUGCGGGAGAGGAAAGUGGAAUUCCUGGUGUAGCGGUGAAAUGCGUAGAUAACUCUGCGGAACACCCGUGGCGAAAGCGGCGCGCUGGACCACUACUGACGCUGAGGAACGAAAGCUAGGGGAGCAAACAGG
rnacentral:rRNA from 1 species